UGCAUAAUGUAUCAAGUAUCUCGUUAUCCUUUUUAUCUCUGAGGGAUAUCCUUAUCCCCAUCUAGUAUCUCUUUUUCCUCUCCCCCAUCUAGUUUGGAAAGACGUAAGAGGACCGUUCUUUGUAGAUAAUGGCAUAUCAUCUGACGAGAGUGGUGACACGAAUAUCUGUUAGGGGUAACCUUUGGCUAAGUACUAUCGUGACUGUAGAAUAUCUGAUAGCACCACUAUGGUUGGUACAGCUGUAGUCACAGAUCGUAUCAUAGUUUGGCAAGCUGGAAAUGUGCUUGAGCAAAUUACCGUUAUUUGUAUCUAAUUUGGUCAUUCCACAUGAAUAAUUGAAGAUCUGUAUCUGCCUUCAGAGAUGGAAGUCGUAACGACUUCGCGAAGCAUAACACGAAAAUAUGAGUAUUUUAUGAUUUAUUAGAUUUUCUCUAUUGUCAGGUAUGUUGUGUGUUUUAUCUUGAUGGGUGUGAAUGUAACGUGAUAUUUUUCUUUUAAAAAAUAAAUUAUUUUC
rnacentral:lncRNA from 1 species